UAACUAUGUCUGCUAUGUGUUUCCCGGAUCAAUCCCCGCCAAAGCUGUCAAAUGUGAGACCGAGAGCAUGUUUGGGAAGUGUCUGUGUGGUCGGGUCUGGCAGGUGCUCCACUGCAAGGCUGUCAAGGACAAAUGAUGGGAGGUGGCAGGGUCACUGCAGUGACGGCGGCCGGUGGUGGUGGAGGUGGUGUUGCUGAGGUGGCGAUGGCGGCUGUCCUGUCCGCCUGACUCCCUCCCCAGGGCUGAUAACGCGGGCAGAAUAACAGGUCCUUUGCCGUGGCCCGCAGAAAGAAUGAAAGAGGGGGAGCAGUGAGCUAUGGUACAAUGUGCUGGGCCGCGAGGAGGAGGAGGAAGAGGAGAGGGAGGAGGAGGAGGAAAAAAAAAAGGAGCAGCUCAUCAGAAAAUAACAAAGACACUUCUGAGGAAGAUGGCUCUCAUACUCCAGGGCUGUUUUCCAAUUACUGCACAGCCUUUCUUCAUGGCCAGGUUUAGGGGUGGACGCUGCGGAGGAGAGUUCUGCUUUUCUCUCUCUGUGUCCGUGUAAGGCCUUCACCCGUAGGACGCCUGGGUCGGUGCAGGAGGACGACGCUUUGAUGCAGAUGUUGCAUCAUGCGACGGGUAGUAUGGUGUCUGGUGUGUGUACGUGUGUGUGUGGGGAUGUGUGUGUCCGUUUGUCCGCAUGUGUGUCCUUGUACGUUGUAAACGUCUGCAUAUUUCCAUAUCUCCAUAUCGCAGCUUGUGUGCCAACUUAUCUUUUCGACAAUGACAAACUCCUAUCUGCUAACUCGCAGCCAUAAAUCCUGAUUACAGAUAUCCUCCAUUGUUCCACUGACAUAGGAAGUAGGGCUGCUCGACAUACAGUACAUCCACCUUAACAUUAUACUCCCUCUCUCUUUUUCUCUUUCUCUCUCUCUCGCCCUCUCUCUCCACGCUAGAAACAGAUGGCUGGGGACGAUCUUCCAAUGUGGUAGAAAACCAACUAAUUGCUUUGAGGCUUCUGAUCUGCCCUGGUUUCCGUGGCGCCAGGUUCACACAUCUCCAUGCCUCCUGUGCAGUUGAUUGGGUCGGGCCCACAGCUGGGG
ensembl:lncRNA